rnacentral:rRNA from 1 species
UAUGGUAAUUGUGUGCCAGCCUCUUCUUUACUACGUAGGGGGCAAGCGUUAUCCGGAUUUACUGGGUGUAAAGGGAGCGUAGACGGACUGGCAAGUCUGAUGUGAAAGGCGGGGGCUCAACCCCUGGACUGCAUUGGAAACUGUUAGUCUUGAGUGCCGGAGAGGUAAGCGGAAUUCCUAGUGUAGCGGUGAAAUGCGUAGAUAUUAGGAGGAACACCAGUGGCGAAGGCGGCUUACUGGACGGUAACUGACGUUGAGGCUCGAAAGCGUGGGGAGCAAACAGG